rnacentral:lncRNA from 1 species
AGGCGCACUCGUGUCUGCCGCGGCCGCCGCAUUCGGGGUUGUGGCUCCCCAGUGGAGGCGGGGACAGAGGGUCUUGCAGAUGGCCCCACUCCCAGGAGCAGAGCUGGUCCAGAGGCCACUGCAGCUCUACCGGUACCUGCUGCGCUGUUGCCAGCAGCUGCCAACCAAGGGCAUCCAGGAGCAUUACAAGCAUGCUGUCAGGCAGAGUUUCCGGGUUCAUUCAGAUGAAGACAAUCCUGAGAGAAUCCAGCAGAUUAUUAAAAGAGCCAUAGAAGAUGCAGACUGGAUCAUGAACAAAAUUCCUUUUACAUUAAAGAAGAAAGGGGGUCCCAGUGCCAGCUAGAGAUCUGACUGUCUGGUGCCUGCCCUGCUACCUCUGAGAAGCCCCUGCAGGAAGCAGCUAACACCUGCAAGAACAUGGUUCCUGGGACUUUCUGGGUCCUCCCUCCCCCACUGGCUUCCCUCACCCACUUCUAAUGAUCUCUGUCUUACAGUAUAAAAAACAAAACUGAGGCUCUAGGGCCUAGAGAACGAGUUGCCCUGAAGACAUUGACGUUGAGAGACCUCGCUUAUAGAACUACUCAGCAGCGGCACUUAUGGAAUAUGCAUUGGCCUGUUGGCCUAGAGCAGGAAAUCAGGAGUAGGAGAAGCUGACUAUUGCUCACCUGGCUCUUCUUGCCAUGUUUGUUUUCCCCAGCAUCCCUUACAUUUGCUUUUCUGGCCAGUUGCCAUGUGGACUUGGGGAUACUGUGUUUUGUCACUUUGCUCUGAAGGUGAUGCAUUUAUUCUGGAUGUUGUCCUUUGAGACCCAGAGUGGGCAUCCCCUCAGGCUGUGCUGAGAGGACACGGUGUGGGUUUUCGAACCAGUCGGGUCUGGAUUUGAAUGUCAGUUCUGCAACUUUUCAAGGGUCUUGCCUUUGAGCUCAGAUUCCUCCUUUGUGAAGAUUAAAUAUGAUGAUGUUGAAGAGCUUCAUGCAGGAUGUGAUACAUGGUAAUGCAAGUAAAUGUCCCCCCUGGGAGCGCCAUCCUCCACCACUCCUUCCUCUGGACUACGGUGCUCCAUGCAUCUCUCUGGCAUGUUCCUCAUCGGGCCCAGGUUGUUUGUGAUCUUGUCCUGCCCUGCUUGGUGUCCCUGAACUUCAGGGUCCCACCAUGCCCAGCAGUCCAUCAAGCAGCCACUCCUCUAGGCUUGGUGGGAAGUCCUUCCUUGAAGUCCAGUCCUUGCCUUUAUGGAGUUUCUUGUGACCAUGAAUUGGUGAAAUGCAGGCUGCAUGGAACAAGGAAGAAAGGCAGAGCAGCUACAGCAGACGCUAAAGCACACAGACCUCUUGUGAACCUGCAGUCUGUUCUGCUGGCCCUUCCCUUCUUUGCCACCAUCUUGGGAGGAAAAAUGGAAGUCGGGAGCAAGCAAGGAGGGAGGUGGGGAGCAAGCGUUCCUGUGAGUUAUGGUGAGCCUGAAACCCUGUGGAGAGACAGACUGGAUCGUGUCCCAAUUCCAUAGGAGUUGCUUUUGGGAACUUACCUGGCCUACUUCAGCCUUGGUUUCCCCAUCUCCUGUGGAGUGGUGCCCACACCUACCUGCCAGGGUGGGAGUGAGGACUAUGGAGCUCUCAUGCGUGCGAGGGGCUUCAUACAGAAGCUGGCUCAGGGAGCUGCCUGCAUGGCUGUGGCCAGUUACCACAGCGAGGAAGCCCUGCUUUGCAGAUGGGGAGAUGGAAGCACAGGCAGUUUGAGCCCCUUUUCAGCAAAGGAGCAGCCAAAAGCAGAAAAGUCGCACUAGGACUUGAAUAUCUCCAAGGACUCUCAGCCAGAGGGAUGAGCCAGCAUGUUUGUGACCUGCCAUGAAUUAUAUGACUUAAAGUUACUCAGAGACAUCUGUAUGCACUUCACUGAUCAGCAAGUAAUGAAGUAAAUAUAUCAGUUUUU